AAGAUCUUGGAGAACUGGUGACCAAACCCAGAGGUGCUUUGGACUGACCCAGAGGGAGCAGAGAACUUGCCUUUUCCCACCCUGUUUUAAUGACAGGAGCCAUGUGCUCCUUCCAGGAGCAGCUGCCAGAGACUGAACUAGUGCAGGAUCACCAGGCCAGCAGACUGACAGAAAAUAUCCUUAUCUUCUGGUGAGAGGUUCCUCUGGCCGCCUGGAGAGCAUCUCUGGCAUUUGACUACCUAGGUAAUAUUCUCCUUACCAAGGAAAAAC
rnacentral:lncRNA from 1 species